CACUCCUACGGGAGGCAGCAGUGGGGAAUAUUGCACAAUGGGCGCAAGCCUGAUGCAGCCAUGCCGCGUGUAUGAAGAAGGCCUUCGGGUUGUAAAGUACUUUCAGCAGUGAGGAAGGUGGAUAUGUUAAUAGCAUAUUCAUUUGACGUUAGCUGCAGAAGAAGCACCGGCUAACUCCGUGCCAGCAGCCGCGGUAAUACGGAGGGUGCGAGCGUUAAUCGGAAUUACUGGGCGUAAAGCGCAUGCAGGUGGUUUGUUAAGUCAGAUGUGAAAGCCCGGGGCUCAACCUCGGAAUUGCAUUUGAAACUGGCAAACUAGAGUACUGUAGAGGGGGGUAGAAUUUCAGGUGUAGCGGUGAAAUGCGUAGAGAUCUGAAGGAAUACCGGUGGCGAAGGCGGCCCCCUGGACAGAUACUGACACUCAGAUGCGAAAGCGUGGGGAGCAAACAGGAUUAGAUACCCUGGUAGGC
rnacentral:rRNA from 1 species